GACGAACGCUGGCGGCGUGCUUCACACAUGCAAGUCGAACGAGUGGCGAACGGGUGAGUAACACGUGGGUGACCUGCCUUGCACCUCGUGAUAAGCUUGGGAAACUGGGUCUAAUACCGGAUAGUGCAAGAUGAGCUCGCGGCCUAUCAGCUUGUUGGUGGGGUAAUGGCUACCAAGGCUCGACGGGUAGCCGGCCUGAGAGGGUGUACGGCAACAUUGGGACUGAGGGACGGCCCAGACGCCUACGGGCGGCAGCAGUGGGGAAUAUGGCACAAUGAGCGGAAGCCUGAUGCAGCGACGCCGGGUGGGGGAUGAAGGCCUUCGGGUUGUAAACUCCUUUCGACAGGGACGCGGUACCUGUAUAAGAAGCACCGGCUAACUACGUGCCAGCAGCCGCGGUAAUUC
rnacentral:rRNA from 1 species